rnacentral:rRNA from 1 species
CCCGGAAGGCGGUUUAUUCCGGAUUUAUUGGGCGUAAAGCGAGCGCAGACSGGUUGAUUAAGUCUGAUGUGAAAGCCCGGAGCUCAACUCCGGAAUGGCAUUGGAAACUGGUUAACUUGAGUGCAGUAGAGGUAAGUGGAACUCCAUGUGUAGCGGUGGAAUGCGUAGAUAUAUGGAAGAACACCAGUGGCGAAGGCGGCUUACUGGACUGUAACUGACGUUGAGGCUCGAAAGUGUGGGUAGCAAACAGGAUUAGAUACCCUGGUAGUCCACACCGUAAACGAUGAACACUAGGUGUUAGGAGGUUUCCGCCUCUUAGUGCCGAAGCUAACGCAUUAAGUGUUCCGCCUGGGGAGUACGACCGCAAGGUUGAAACUCAAAGGAAUUGACGGGGACCCGCACAAGCGGUGGAGCAUGUGGUUUAAUUCGAAGCAACGCGAAGAACCUUACCAGGUCUUGACAUCCUUUGAAGCUUUUAGAGAUAGAAGUGUUCUCUUCGGAGACAAAGUGACAGGUGGUGCAUGGUCGUCGUCAGCUCGUGUCGUGAGAUGUUGGGUUAAGUCCCGCAACGAGCGCAACCCUUAUUGUUAGUUGCCAGCAUUCAGAUGGGCACUCUAGCGAGACUGCCGGUGACAAACCGGAGGAAGGCGGGGACGACGUCAGAUCAUCAUGCCCCUUAUGACCUGGGCUACACACGUGCUACAAUGGCGUAUACAACGAGUUGCCAACCCGCGAGGGUGAGCUAAUCUCUUAAAGUACGUCUCAGUUCGGAUUGUAGUCUGCAACUCGACUACAUGAAGUCGGAAUCGCUAGUAAUCGCGGAUCAGCACGCCGCGGKGAAUACGUUCCCGGGUCUUGUACACACCGCCCGUCACACCAUGGGAGUUUGUAAUGCCCAAAGCCGGUGGCCUAACCUUUUAGGAAGGAGCCG